GCCUGGGCAACAAGAGCAAAACUCCGUCUCAAACAAACAAAAAAACCCAGUAUUCAUAGUGUCAACAUUUUAUAGGUUCUGAUACAUGUUUAAAAAUUAUCUUAAUCUCCUUCCUCAUAUCCAAAGCUUACCCCCUAGACUUGGCUAAAUGUUCUCUUAUCCUAAUCUUUAUACUCCCUUAUCCACCUCUAACUGAUAAGUGGAGUGGACCAUACUUACUAAGGAGUGGAAUCACUGUGUACCCAAUGUCACAUACAAAAAUGCCCCCUCCUUCCCCUUACCUCAAAUUGAGUAAAGCAGUAGGUCAACCAUAGGCAGUCCCAUCCAUCAGGCUCUGCUAUUCUGUGUUCAGGCGUAAAAUACACACAUGUAUACAUGUGAUUUCAUAGACAUGUCAGGACAAUAAAAUGCAUUGUUGGGUAAUUUGGAAAUCUAAAGCCUAAGAGCUCAGGGAAAUUUCACAUAUAUACAUUCUCUCCACUUUCUAAAAAAUAAAUGACAUCACCUGUGUGAGUGAUAGCUUUAAAGCAAAAACUUCUUAUGUUAAAUCAUUAAAUGUUUGCUUCUACUACCCUAAUUUCCUGAAGCCACAUCUUUUUUUACUUACCAAAUACACAUGCCUUAAAUAAGUAAAUCCCUGGCCAGGUUCCUUACUUAGCUCAAAGUUUUAACUUUUUUUUUUUUUUUUUAAACAUGCAUAGUGUUCUGUCCUUUCAGCAGAGCCCUAGGAGCAGCCGAGACCUAGUCUCCUAAAUUUUUACAACUCUCCAUAGGCAUAUUUACAAGGUGUUACCUGAAAAUACCAACAAGCCACCAGACACAUUUGUGUCCAAUUCAUUAAAAAGAAUUUAUAUUCAUUCCACUAGUAAAAAUGAUUUAUUCCUCUGGCUCUGAUUUGAAAGGAUGUAAUAGGUUUGAGUAAACAAUAACCAUCUCUGGCCUUUUUUCCCCUUCUUUGUAGGCGUUAGCCACUCUACAGGUCUAAACCCUUGUUAUAGCAAAAGAUCUUAGUGCAUAAAGUGGAUAAGAUCUAAAGCACACAAAUUUAGUUUUGACUAUAAUGUACCUCUUGGGAUUAUGUAAAAGCCACAGCCAACCAGCUCAGCUCCUGGGUAUUAUUAAUAGUAGUAAUGAAGUAAAACAUUUUGAAACUGGACUCAAAUUGUGUUCAGUGUGCUAAACCAGGGAUGCUGUGAAAUGAAUGUAAAUUUUAACAAGCCUGUUCUGAGCUUUAGACUUCUCAUUAGUGCCCCUUUCCCAAGUGUAAUGUGCAGAAUGAGCCACUAGAGGGCAAUCAUUUUCUUUAGGAAAAAGAUGCUGUUUGAAAGCACUGUACAUUCAUUUAACCACAAUGACACCAUGUCUCACACCCAGGAGAAUGGAUAUAAUCAAAGGAAAAGGCAAUAUCAAGUGUUGGAGGGGACAAGGAGCAACUGGAAAUCUCAUAUGUUGCUGAUGGAAACAUAUGGUACUGCCACUUGGAUAACAGUUUGCAGUUUCUUAAAAAGUUAAAAUCAUGUUACAAUAAAACCCAGCAAUUCCACGUAUAUGAAACUACCCAAGAUAAAUGAAAGCAUAUGGUCAAUUAAGAUAUGUUCAUGAACAUUCAUGGCAUCACACAUAAUAGACAAAAAUUGGAAACAAUCCAAACAACCAUUAUUGGUGAAUGAAUAAACAAAAUGUGAUAUAUGCAUAUGAGGGAAUACUAUUCAGCUAUAAAAAAUUCUACACUAUGGAUGAAGUGAACCUCAAAAAUAUUAUGCUAAGUGAGAGAAGCCAGAUGCAAAAGAUUAAAUAUAGUGUGUGAUUCAAUUUAUAUGAAAUACCCAGAAAAGACAAAUUUAUAGACAGAAAGCAGAUCAGUGGCUACCUAGGGUGAAGAGAAAGGAGGGGAGGAGUGGGGACUGACUGCAGACAGGCUCAUGAGAAUUUCAGGGGGAUGAUGAAAGUGUUCCAAAUCUGGAUUAUGAUGAGGCUGGCACAAUGCUACAGGUUUACUGAAUCACCAUGUACACUUACAGUGGGUGAAUUUAAUAUAAAUCAUACUUCAAUAAAGCUAACAAAAAACACACUGAUUUAGCACUGCAUUAGAAUAGGUACUGGGAAAUGAAACAAGUGAAAGAAAGAAAACUAGAGCACUGUGUAUUAGAAUGUAAUACAAAUAGCCACUAUGUCAUUCGGUCCUGAGCUCUGGCUUUUCAGACAGGAAAAAAGCUCACUGUUUGCAAACAGACUAGGGAAAUUUAGGAAUUUAUGAUCAAGUAAGAAUUUUAUUACUUUUGGCCAAAGGCCAUUACAUUUGUUACAUUAAACAGAAACAUUUGUUUAAAAAGGAAGGUUGUAAAGUUUCAAGCAGAAUGCAAUUAUUUUCUGACUCUCCAUCAGUACUUUGGAGUCAUAUUUAUGAAGGGAUUUAAAACACAUCAAUGUGCUAAGGGUCUGAUGUUAUAUAAAAUAACUAAUAACUUGAGAUAUUCAGGGCAAAGAGAGACACUUGAAGUGACAGGCAUAUCCAUACCAAGUAAUUUUACAUUUCCUGAAUUAUCCUUUUAUAAACUAGUUUAAAUUUACUUAAGAAACUUCAGGUAUAAUAAUAUAUGAGAUCAAAAGGCUCGUUCUGGCCUGUAAUCCCAGCACUUUGGAAGGCUGAGGCAGGAGGAUUGCUUGAGCCCAGCAGUUCAUACCAGCCUGGGCAACUUAGCAAGACCUGUCUCUACAAAAAUAUCAAAAUUAGCCGGGCAUAGUGGUGCGGGCCUGUAGUGCCUACUACUCAGUAGACAGAGGUGGGAGAACCACUUGAGCCCGGGAGGUCAAGGCUGCAGUGAGUCAUGUUCACGUCAUUGCACUCCAACCUGGGCAGCAAAGCAAGACCCUGUCUCAAAAAAAAGAAAGCUCUGUUAAGGUCUAUAAGCAGCAGUCUCCAACUUUUUUGGCACCAGGGACCAGUUUUGCAGAAGACAAUUUUGCCACGGACAGGGCAGGGGUGGGGACAGGUGGUUUGGAGAUGAAACUAUUCCACCUCAGCUCAUCAGGCAUUAGAUUCUCAUAAGGAGAUUGCAACCUAGAUCCCUCACAUGCGCAGUUCACAAUAAAGUUUGCUCCCCUAUGAGAAUCCAAUGCUGUCAUUGGUCUGACAGGAGGCGGAGCUCAGGCAGUAAUGCUCACUGGCCUGCCGCUCACCUCCUGCUGUGCAGCUCCGUUCCCAACAGCCCACGGACCAGUAUUGAUUUGAGGCCCGCGGACGGGGGCCCCCUGGUCUAUGGAACGUCUUCAACACAUAAAUUUCAGAGGAGGCUAGUGGUACACAAGAGAAAAAUUAGUGAAUAUUAAGACAAAACUAUGUCUUUUCUUUGGCUUCUAGAAUGGUAGUGGUUUAUGGGGUUAUAAAAGACAAGAUCAUCCAAAGGGCUCUCCCAUUACUAUUAGUUCCUAGUUCAAUUAUAAACAAUAUACUUUUAAAAAUGCUUUACUGGGCUCUCAAGAAAGCAGGGACACUGAAAGGCCAAUAUAAGAGAUGGAACCUGAGCAGGAGUGGUAACUAAACAGGAAAACCAAAGUUGCCCUGAGGACAAAUGCCAUUAUCAGCGCUGGGACUGAGAGACCAAGUUCUGGACCCAUAGCAAAAGGAGGAGCCAAGAAGAAAGCUAAAAUGCCCCAGGUCAGUUUUGUUCCCUAGCCUAGAGACACAAAUGUGAAACCUCUCUGAAGGAGCACAUUCCCAAUUAAAGAACCUCUGGAUUCUCAACAGGUUCUACUAAAUAUAUAUUUACAAAUAAAAAUCACCAAACACAGGAAGAAUGACAUACCAUAAGGAAAAGUUCAACAGAGACAAUAAACAGAUUUAGACCCUCAAGGGACUUCAGAUAUUGGAAUUACUGGCUACAGGAUAUAAAGAUAACUAUGUAUGAAAUGCCCAGAGAAAUAAAAAAGAUAGAAACCAAAGAAACAGAGGAAGUCUAGCCAGAGCAAUUAGGCAAGAGAAAUAAAUAAAAGGCUUCCAAAUUGUCGCUCCCCACUGAGAAUAUAAUCUUACAUCUAGAAAAGCCUCGACUCUGCCAAAAAAAUUGUUAGAUUUGGUAAAUGAAUUCAGUAAAGUUGCAGGACACAAAACUAAUAUACAAAAAUCAGUAGUAUUUCUAUACGCCAACAAUGAACUAGUGGAAAAAGAAAUCAAGAAAGCAAUCCUAUUUACAAUAGCUCCCCAUAAAAAUAAAAUACAUAGGAAUAAAUUUAACUGAGGAGGUGAAAGAUGUCCAUAGCAAAACUAUAAAACACUGAUGAAAGAAACCGAAGAAGUCAUAAAUAAAUGGAAAGACAUUCCAUGUUUCUAAAUCAGAAAAAUUACUAUUGUGAAAAUGACCAUAAUUCCAAAAGCAAUCUAUAAAUUCAGUGCAAUCCCUAUCAAAAUACCAGUGUCAGUCUUCACAGAAAUAGAAAAAAAAAAAUCUUAAAACACACAUGAAAGUACAAAAGACCCUGAAUAGUCAAAGCAUUCCUGAGCAAAAAGAGUAAUGCUGGAGGUAUCCAUACUACCUGACUUCAAAAGAUACUAUAAAACUAUAGAAACCCCAAUAGCAUGGUACUGGCAUAAUAACAGACACACAGACCAAUGGAACGGUAAAGAGAACCCAGAAAUAAAUUCACAUAUUUACAGUCAACUGAUUUUCAACAAAGUGCCAAGAACAUUCAGUAAGGAAAGGACAGUCUCUUCAAUAAAUAGUGCUGGGAAAACUGGAUAUCCAUAUGCAGAAGAAUGAAAUUAAACCCCUAUCUCUUACCAUAUACAAAAAGCAAAUCAAAAUGGAGUAAAGACUUAAAUGUACGACUUGAAACUAUGAAACUACUAAAAGAAAACAUUGGGGAAACACUUCAGGACGCUGUUUUGGUCAAAGAUUUUUUGUGUAGGACUUCAAAAGCACCAGAAACAAAAACAAAAAUAGACAAAUGGAAUUACAUCAAGCUAAAAAGCUUCUGCACAGCAAAGGAAACAAUCAAUUGAAUGAGGAGACAACACACAGAAUGGGAGAAAAUAAUGUACAAUCUCUCCAUCUGACAAGGGAUGAAUAUCCAGAAUACACAAGGAAUUCAAUUCAAUAGCAAAACAAAACAAAUAAUCUCAGGUCUUACGGGACAAUACAGAAAAAAAAAACACAAAUAAUCCACUUUAAAAAUGGGCAAAUGAUCUGAAUAGACAUUUCUCGAAAGACACACAAAUUGCCAGCAGGUAUAUGAAAAAAUGCUCUACAUCACCAAUCAUCAGAGAAAUAUAAAUCAAAACCACAACAAUAUCUUACCCCAGUCAGAAUGGCUAUUAAGAUUAAAAAUAACAGAUAUUGGCAAGGAUGCAGAGAAAAAGAAACUCUUAUAUAUUGUUGGUGGGAAUGUAAACUAGUACAGUCACUAUGGAGAUUUCUCAAAAACUAAAACCAGAAUUACCAUUCGAUCAAGCAAUCUCAUUACUAGGUAUCUACCCAAAGGAAAAGAAAUCAAUACAUCAGAGGGAUACCUGCACUUGCAUGUUUAUUGCAGCACUAUUCACGAUAGCAAAGAUAUGAAAUCAACCUAAGUGUUCACCAGUGCAUGAAUGGAUAAAGAAAACGUGGCAUAUGCACACAAUGGAACGCUAUUCAGCCAUAAGAAAAAGAAUGAAAUCAUGCCAUUUGCAGCAACAUGGAUGGACUGGAAGUCACUAUGUUAGGUGAAAUAAGCCAGGCACAAAAGACAAAUAUCACAUGUUCUUACUUACAUGUGGGAGCUAAAAAAUUUGAUCACAUGGAGGUAGACAGUGGAAAGAUAAUAGAGGCUGGGAAGGGUGAGGGCAGGGGACGGGGGAGGAUGAAGACAAGUAGGUUAAAGAGUACAAACAUAUAGUUAGAUAUAAUUAAAUUCAAUGUUUGAUAGCAGAGUAGGGUGACUACAGUUAACAAAAUCAUAGCUGGGUGAUGGACACUCUAAAUACUCUGACUUGAUCACGAUACAUUAUAUACAUGCAACAAAAUUUUACAUGCAACCUAUCAAUAUGUACAAAUUUUUCUAAAAAGCUCAGCAAACUGGAACUUCCUUGCUCUGACAGAGUAGCAAAACCAAGGAAGAUUCAAUAUUGUAGCACUGUCAAUACUCCCUAAUUAAUCUUUAAAUGUGAUUCUAGUUGAAAGAAAGAGAAAGAGAGAUAGGGAGAGAAAGGAAGCUGGGCACAGCGGCUCAAUACCUAUAAUCCCAGCACUUUGUGAGGCUGAAGCCAGGAGGAUCGCUUGAGGCCAGGAGUUCAAGACCAGCUGUGCAACAUGGCGAGGCCCUGUCUCUACAAAAAAUUUAAAAAUUAGCUGGGCCUAAUGGUGUGCACCUGUGGUCUCAGCUACUUGGGAGGCUGAGGUGGGAGGAUCGCUUGAGCCCAGGAGUUUGAGACUACAGUGAGCCAUGUUUGUACCACUGCACUCUAGCCUGGGUGACAGAGUGAAACACUGUCUCAAAAAAAAAAAGGGGGGGGGGACAGAAAAAGAAAUUUCCUACAGCUAUUUGCUUUUUAUCCCCAAGGAAUUUUACAAACUGAUUCUCAUACUGAAUUUAAAAAGCAGGCCAGGCAUGGUGGCUCAUACCUGUAAUCCCAGCACUUUGGGAGGCUGAAGCGAGAGAAUUGCUUGAGCCCAGGAGUUCAAGACGAGCCUGGACAACACAGAGAGGUGGGGUGGAAGAGUGGAGGGAGGGGAGGCAGGUGGGGGUCGUGGGGGUGGUGGAUCACCUGAGCCCAGGGAGGCUGAGGCUACAAUGAGCCAUGAUCAUACCACUGCACUCCAGCCUGGGCGACAGAGCAAGACCCUGUCUCAGAACAACAACAACAAAAAACAAAACCAGAAGGCCAAGAACAUUCCUUAAGAAAAAUACAAAGGUAAGAGACUACCCUUGUCAGGUAUCAAGACAUAUAAUCAAGUUAUAACAAUUAAAUAAUGUGCUACUUGGCCCUUGCUUAGGCAAACUGACCAAUGGAACAGAACAGGAAGUCCCCAAAUAAACAUUUGGCUACAAUGGCAAAUUUCCAUGUAAGUAAAGCCUCUGAGGAAAGGAUGCAUUAGUCAAUAAACGGCGCAGGGAAAACUGAUUUUCUACAUAGUAAAAAAAUAAAAUUUUAAAUCUAUAUCACACAUACACAAAUCAAUUCCAGGUAGGCUAAAAACUUAACUGAGACACUUUUUUGAUUUUCAGAAGCAACAUUGAGCAACUAUGACCCUGGGAUAGGACAAAUUUCUUAAAACAUAAAAAUAACUCACGUUUGAAAAUAUUAAAUUUUGUUUACAAAAAAACCCAAAGUGAAAAGCUACAAACUGGAUGAAGAUAUGUGCAAGAACAACAAAAAAACAACAAAAAUAUCAAUAUCCUAAAUACAAAAAACUCUUAAAUAAGAGCAAAAACAGAAAAAUAAAAGACAUCAAGACAUAUUUCACAGAACAGGAAUGACUAAUAAACAUGAAAAUGUUUUUAACUUAUUAAUCAGAAAAAUGCAUGUUUUCUUUUAUAGUGAAGUGAGUGCUGUCACAUUCAUAAGGAAAAUGCAAUUUAAAGCCACAAUAAAAUACCAUUUUACACCUAACAGAUUGGAAAGAAUUGGGUCUUAUGAUAGCAAGUAAAUAAGAAACCAUACUGUAAAGCGGUGCAACCAGUUUGGAAAACAAUUUGGCAUUAUCUUGUAAAACUGUUAAAAAGCUGAUCAGGCACAUGCCUUACAAACCACCAACUUUGAAUCUAGGUUUAUAUGCUAAAGAAACUCUUGGACAUGAGCACCAAAAAAUUGGAUAUGAAUGUUCGUUUCAGCAUUGUUUGUAAAAGCAAAAAAAAAAAAAAAAAGAAAAACUAGACCCAAGAAAAUAAAUUGUAAAAAUAAACCUGUUGAAUAAAAACAACAAGUUACAUAAGACUACAUAAAGAAUACUUUUUUGUUGUUUGUUUUUGAGAUGGAGUCUUGCUCUGUUGCCCAGGCUGGAGUGCAAUGGCGCGAUCUCAGCUCACUGCAACCUCCACCUCCCGGGUUCAAGCGAUUCUCCUGCCUCAGCCUCCCGAGUAGCUGGGACUACAGAUGCAUGCCACCAUGCCUGGCUAAUUUUUGUAUUUUUAGUAGAGACGGGGUUUCACUAUGUUGGCCAGGCUGGUCUCAAACUCCUGACCUCGUGAUCGGCCCACCUCGGCCUCCCAAAGUACUGGGAUUACAGGCGUGAGCCACUGCGCCCCGCCAGGAUGAUACUAUUUUUUAUAAAGUUCACAAAAAUAAACGAUAUAUAGCCAUGGGACAUAUGUAUGAAAGCAAAAGGGAGGCCAGGUGCGGUGGCUCACACCUGUAAUCCCAGAACUUUGGUAGGCCGAGGUGGGCAGAUCACAAGGUAAGGAGAUCGAGACCAUCCUGGCUAACAAAAAUACAAAAAAUUAGCCGGGCAUGGUGGCAGGUGCCUGUAGUCCCAGCUACUUGGGAGGCUGAGGCAGGAGAAUGGCGUGAACCCGGGGGGUGGAGCUUGCAGUGAGCCGAGAUCACGCCACUGCACUCCAGCCUGGGAGACAGAGCAAGACUCCAUCUCAAAAAAAAACCAAAAGGGAAAAAAAAAAAAAAAAGAAAUGAUAGAUUCAAGGAGGUGGUUACCCCUAAAGAGUAGGCUGGGGAUUGGAAUUGAGAAGGAACACAAAGGUAGGGUUAAUACUACCAGAAAGGCUCCAGUUCUUAGUGGGUGGCUUCAUAGGUAUUUUAUUAUUAUGUCUUCAUCUUGCAUAUAUUUUUAUGUAUGCAUCAAAUACUACCUAUAGAAAUGUAGUGACCAGGCCAGGCAUGGUGGCUCACGCCUGUAAUCCCAGCACUUUAGGAGGCCGAGAUGGGCGGAUCAUUUGAGGUUAGGAGUUCAAGACUAGCCUGGCCAACAUGGUGAAACCCCAUCUCUACUAAAAAUACAAAAAUUAGCCAGGUGUGGUGGCAU
rnacentral:lncRNA from 10 species